AGACGUAGGGGGCCAGCGUUGUUCGGAAUUACUGGGUGUAAAGGGUUCGUAGGCGGUGCGGCAAGUUGGGAGUGAAAUCUCUGGGCUUAACCCAGAGGCUGCUUCCAAAACUGCUGUGCUUGAGUGUGAGAGAGGCUCGUGGAAUUGCAGGUGUAGCGGUGAAAUGCGUAGAUAUCUGCAGGAACACCCGUGGCGAAAGCGGCGAGCUGGAUCACAACUGACGCUGAGGAACGAAAGCUAGGGGAGCAAACAGGAUUAGAUACCCUGGUAGUCCUAGCCCUAAACGAUCAGGACUUGGGGUGCCGCCCGUUCGGGCGUCGUCCCGGAGCUAACGCGUUAAGUCCUGCACCUGGGGAGUACGGUCGCAAGACUGAA
rnacentral:rRNA from 1 species